UACGUAGGAUGCGAGCGUUGUCCGGAAUUAUUGGGCGUAAAGGGCACGCAGGCGGUCUGUUCAGUCAGUUGUGAAAUCUCCCGGCUCAACUGGGAGGGGUCAAUUGAUACUGGCAGACUUGAGGACAGAAGAGGAAAGUGGAAUUCCCGGUGUAGUGGUGAAAUGCGUAGAUAUCGGGAGGAACACCAAUGGCGAAAGCAGCUUUCUGGUCUGGUCCUGACGCUGAGGUGCGAAGGCUAGGGGAGCAAACAG
rnacentral:rRNA from 1 species